rnacentral:sRNA from 1 species
GUGGAGUGGGAAUAAAGUAGUAACCUCACUUGGUUGCAAAAUGUUGAUUUAACAGCUUUUUAGUUCACUUAGAAUGGAUAAAAAAGAUCUAUUUUGAUUAGGUUCCCCGCCAAAAUCCCGCCAGAGAACUCUGACGGGAUUUUUAAU